rnacentral:rRNA from 1 species
CCUACGGGCGGCAGCAGUGGGGGAUAUUGCACAAUGGGGGAAACCCUGAUGCAGCGACGCCGCGUGAGUGAAGAAGUAUUUCGGUAUGUAAAGCUCUAUCAGCAGGGAAGAAACUGACAGUACCCGACCAAGAAGCCCCGGCUAACUACGUGCCAGCAGCCGCGGUAAUACGUAGGGGGCAAGCGUUAUCCGGAUUUACUGGGUGUAAAGGGAUCGUAGGCGGUAAUGUAAGUCUGGAGUGAAAGGCCGGGGCCCAACCCCGGGACUGCUUUGGAAACUGGGUAACUGGAGUGCAGGAGGGGCAGGGGGAAUUCCUGGUGUAGCGGUGAAAUGCGUAGAUAUCAGGAGGAACAGCGGCGGCGAAGGCGGCCUGCUGGGCUGAAACUGACGUUGAGGAUCGAAAGCGUGGGGAGCAAACAGGAUUAGAUACCCGAGUAGUC